GACGAACGCUGGCGGCGUGCUUAACACAUGCCAGUCGAACGGAAAGGCCCUGAUUUUGUGGGGUUCUCGAGGGGGGAAGGGGGGCGUAACACGUGAGUAACCGGCCCUUGUCUUUGGGAGAACUUCACGAAACGGGGGCUACUACCGGAUAGGAUCUCCUGCAGCAUGGUGGGGGGUGGAAAGUUUCGGCUGGUGGGGGUGUACUCGCGGCUUACCAGCUUGUUGGUGGGGUAGUGGCGGACCAAUGCUUUGAAGGGUAGGCCGCCUGGGAGGGUGACCGGCCACAUUGGGACUGAGGUACGGCACAGAGUGCUACGGGAGGCAGCAGUGGGGAAUAUUGCACAAUGCACAGCAGCCUGAUGCAGAAGCGCCGCGUGCUGUAUGACGGCCUUGGGGUUGUAAACCGCUUUCGCCUGUGACGAAGCGUGAGUGACGGUAAUGGGUAAAGAAGCCCCGGCUAACUACGUG
rnacentral:rRNA from 1 species